rnacentral:rRNA from 1 species
ACUGGUUAUUUCUUGCAGUAUUCAUAUGCUUGUCUCAAAGAUUAAUUAAUGCAUGUAUAAGUAUGAGUUAUUUCAUAUUAUGAAACUGAGAAUAACUCAUUAAAUCAGUUAUAGUUUGUUUGAUGGUAUGUGCUGCAAGGAUAACCAUAUUAAUUCUAGGGCUAAUAUAUGCAUCAAAACCCUAACUUCUGGAAGUGAAGCAUUUAUUAGGUAAAAGGUCAAUGCGGAAUUUUUCUCAUUGCCCUCAUGAUUCAUAAUAACUUAUCGGAUCCAAUGGCCCUUGUGUCAGUGAUACAUCUUUCAAAUAUCUUCACUAUCAAGUUUCAGAGGUGGGAUAGGGGCCUACCAUGGUGGUGAUAGAUGAUGGAGAAUUGGGGUUUGAUUCUUUUGAGGGAACCUGAGAGAUGCCUACCACAUCCAAGGAAGGCAGCAAGCAUACAAAUUACCUAAUCCUGACACAGGGAGGUAGUAACAAUAAAUAAUAAUACUUGGUUCUUUAUGUAUGUAAUUGGAAUGAAUAUAAUCUAAUUCCCUUAAUGAGGAUACACUGGAGGGCAUGUCUUGUGCCAGCAACCGCUAUGAUUCUAGCUCCAAUAGCAUAUAUUUAAGUUAUUGUAGUUAAAAAGCUUGUAGUUGGAACUUUGGUUGGAUCAGUCAGUCCACCACAUGGUGUACACCGCCCUCCUUUUAUCUUAUGCUAGAGAUGCAAUGUGGCCAUAAUUGGUUGGUUUGUUCCUCUAGUGUUGUUACUUUAAAGAAGAUAGAGUGCUUAAAGAAAUUUCGCCCAUGCUAUGGAUAUAUUAGCUUGGGAUAAAACCACAUAACUUUGGUCCAAUUGUGUUGGACUUCAAGAUCGACGUAAUGAUUAAGAAGGACGGUCGGGUGCAUUCAUAUUUCAUAAUUGUGGUGAACUUCUUGGAUUUAUGAAAGGCAACCCAUUGCGAAAGCAUUUGCCAAUGAUGUUUUUAAUAAUCAAGAGCAAUUGUUGGGGGCUUUAAGACGAUUAGAAACAAUCCUAGUCUCAACCAUAAAUGAUGUCGACCAGGGAUCGGCGGAUGAGGCUUUUAGGACUCCACCAGCACCUUGUGAGAAAUCAAUAUUUUUGGGAUUCUUAAAAAGGAUGCAUUUUGCAUUAAUCAAAAGAGAAUUACAAAAGGAGGGCAGCGAGAGGCUCUAAGAAUGAACAUGUUAAAUCAUAUACUCCUCUAAGAUAUAAAUCAAUUCCUAAGGAAUAGUGUCGCUAUCCACAAAAUCUCAAACAAAAUUACAAGAAAUCGACAUUUGGUCAUAAAAGUGGGCAGUAGAAUUAUUCUCCCGCAGCAUAAGUUACAACAACACUGUUCCAUAUGGAUCCAAUUGAGAUCUUCACCAAAAUCCAGCAAGGCAUCCCAUUUCUUUUUCAACAUAAUUAUGCAUGAAAUUAAUGAGACUGAGGUUAUCCCCUUUAAUGAUAAUUUUGGCAGAAUUAAACAUCCAAUCCAUAAGGGCCUUGCUUAUUUGAAGAAUUACUUGAGCAUCACUUGUGUACUAUCCAAGUAAUUGACCCCCCAACCUAGCACCCUCAACUGAUUCCUUUAUUAUUGUUAAUUACCAGACCUAACCGCCCAUAGUUAGAGCACAGCAAACCAUCAAUUUUUAGCUUGAGCCAAUAAGGAGGGGGGUAACACAAAGGCAUCUAAAUAACAUAAAGGGCUGAGUGGUAUCCUAUUUCCCC